AGUGAACGCUGGCGGUAGGCCUAACACAUGCAAGUCGAACGGCAGCACAGUAAGAGCUUGCUCUUACGGGUGGCGAGUGGCGGACGGGUGAGGAAUACAUCGGAAUCUACUUUUUCGUGGGGGAUAACGUAGGGAAACUUACGCUAAUACCGCAUACGACCUACGGGUGAAAGCAGGGGAUCUUCGGACCUUGCGCGAUUGAAUGAGCCGAUGUCGGAUUAGCUAGUUGGCGGGGUAAAGGCCCACCAAGGCGACGAUCCGUAGCUGGUCUGAGAGGAUGAUCAGCCACACUGGAACUGAGACACGGUCCAGACUCCUACGGGAGGCAGCAGUGGGGAAUAUUGGACAAUGGGCGCAAGCCUGAUCCAGCUAUACCGCGUGGGUGAAGAAGGCCUUCGGGUUGUAAAGCCCUUUUGUUGGGAAAGAAACGCAGCAGGUUAAUACCCCGCUGUUCUGACGGUACCCAAAGAAUAAGCACCGGCUAACUUCGUG
rnacentral:rRNA from 1 species